GAUGAAUGCUGGCGGCGCGCCUAACACAUGCAAGUCGAGCGGUAACAUGGACUUCGGUCUGAUGACGAGCGGCGGACGGCUGAGUAACGCGUGGGAACAUGCCCCAAAGUGAGGAAUAACUGCCCGAAAGGGUGGCUAAUGCCGCAUAUGAUCUUCGGAUUAAAGGAUUUAUCCGCUUUGGGAGUGGCCUGCGUACGAUUAGGUAGUCGGUGAGGUAAUGGCUCACCAAGCCUACGAUCGUUAACUGGUCUGAGAGGAUGAUCAGUCAGACUGGAACUGAGACACGGUCCAGACUCCUACGGGAGGCAGCAGUGAGGAAUCUUCCACAAUGGGCGAAAGCCUGAUGGAGCGACGCCGCGUGCAGGAUGAAGGCCUUCGGGUUGUAAACUGCUUUUAUAAGUGAAGAAUAUGACGGUAACUUAUGAAUAAGCACCGGCUAACUACGUGCCAGCAGCCGCAGUA
rnacentral:rRNA from 1 species